AUCCGGCUGACGAGUCCCAAAAUAGGACGAAACGCGCGUCCUGGAU
rnacentral:hammerhead_ribozyme from 1 species